rnacentral:tRNA from 1 species
CCACAGUUGGCUGAGUGGCUAAAAGCACCGCACUGUAAAUGCGACUCCCUUCGGGGAUACGGUGGUUCGAAUCCAUCACUGUGGACCA